GACUCCCGUAGAGGAAGAGACUGUGGAGGCCAGUUCUGGAGCUGUUGUAGCCUCGGUUGCCCGGCCGGGGACCCGAGCCGAAAAGUUAUCGUCAGAAUGUCGGGCAAAGACCGAAUCGAAAUCUUUCCCUCGCGAAUGGCACAGACCAUCAUGAAGGCUCGUUUAAAGGGAGCACAGACAGGUCGAAACCUCCUGAAGAAAAAAUCUGAUGCCUUAACUCUUCGAUUUCGACAGAUCCUAAAGAAGAUAAUAGAGACUAAAAUGUUGAUGGGCGAAGUGAUGAGAGAAGCUGCCUUUUCACUAGCUGAAGCCAAGUUCACAGCAGGUGACUUCAGCACUACAGUUAUCCAAAAUGUAAAUAAAGCGCAAGUGAAGAUUCGAGCGAAGAAAGAUAAUGUAGCAGGUAAUGUUUCAACCUUUUAGAAACCCUUUGGGGAGAAAAGAGGUGACAUUUUAAAAUGAACCUGUUUAUACAGCAAGAUCUUAAUGUCCUAGUUUCUUCCUUCCAAGUUGAUUGGCUUUACAUGUUAAAAUCAUUAACAACCAGGUUUCUAAUUACUUAUGAUAAUUUGACUU
rnacentral:sRNA from 1 species